GGAAGUAAAAGUCGUAACAAGGUUUCCGUAGGUGAACCUGCGGAAGGAUCAUUAUUGAAGUCUGGUUGUUGCUGGCCUUUUCUACGGCAUUGUGCACGCCUUAUUCAAACCACCUGUGCACCAUUUGUAGACUUUGUUUGUCUAUUGAUAAUUUAUUUUACCCCACGUAUCAGAAUGUAUUGAUGAUUGGCCUCAGUGCCUUUAAAUCAAAUAAUAUACAACUUUCAGCAACGGAUCUCUUGGCUCUCGCAUCGAUGAAGGACGCAGCGAAACGCGAUAAGUAAUGUGAAUUGCAGACACGUGAAUCAUCGAAUCUUUGAACGCACCUUGCGCUCCUUGGUGAUCUGAGGAGCAUGCCUGUUUGAGUGUCAUUAAAUUCUCAACCCUAACCAGCUUUUGUGAGCUUGGGAUAGGCUUGGAUUGUGGGGGUUUUGCUGGCUUCAACCUCCCAGAAGUCAGCUCCCCUUAAAUGCAUUAGUGGAACGAUUUGUUGACGUUGUUUCCUGGUGUGAUAAAACCUUUAUCACCACCGUGUGCAGUCAGCUUACUCUGCUUCUAACAAAGCUAGUCUUUGACUUGGACCAUUUGACCYYCAAAAUCAGGUAGGGACUACCCCGCUGAACUUUAAGCAUAUCAAUAAGCGGAGGAAAAGAAACUAACAAGGAUUCCCCUAGUAACUGCGAGUGAAGCGGGAAAAGCUCAAAUUUAAAAUCUGGCUAGCUUCGCUGCCCGAGUUGUAAUCUAGAGAAGCAUUAUCAGCGCUCGCGGCGUGUAUAAGUGUCCUGGAAUGGACCAUCAUAGAGGGUGACAAUCCCGUCUUUGACACGGCUGCCUUUAGUGCUAUUGAUGUGCUCUCAACGAGUCGAGUUGUUUGGGAAUGCAGCUCUAAAUGGGUGGUAAGUUCCAUCUAAAGCUAAAUAUUGGCGAGAGACCGAUAGCGAACAAGUACCGUGAGGGAAAGAUGAAAAGAACUUUGGAAAGAGAGUUAAAUAGUACGUGAAAUUGCUGAAAGGGAAACGCUUGAAGUCGGUCGCGUUGGUUGGGUAAUCGAGAAAUCAACCUUGCUUUCUAAAAGCUUGGCUUAUUUCCCAGCUGACGGGCCAGCAUCAGUUUUGACCGGUGGAUAAAGGCCAAGGGAAUGUGGCACCUCUUGGGGUGUGUUAUAGCCCUCGGUCAUAUACAUCGGUUGGGACUGAGGAACUCANCACUUGUUGCUUAGGAUGCKGGCAUAAAGGCUUUAAGCGACCCGUCUUGAAACACGGACCCAAGGAGUCUAACAUGCCCGCGAGUGUUUGGGUGGAAAACCCGAGCGCGCAAUGAAAGUGAAAGUUGAGAUCCCUGUCAUGGGGAGCAUCAAUGCCUGGACCAGAGCUUUUGUGAUGGAUCCACGGUAGAGCGUGUAUGUUGGGACCCCGAAAGAUGGUGAACUAUGCCUGAAUAGGGUGAAGCCAGAGGAAACUCUGGUGGAGGGCUUGUAGCGAUUCUGAUGUGCAAAUCGAUCGUCAAAUUUGGGUAUAGGGGCGAAAGACUAAUCGAACCAUCUAGUAGCUGGUUCCUGCCGAAGUUUCCCUCAGGAUAGCAGAAACUCAUUAUCAGAUUUAUGUGGUAAAGCGAAUGAUUAGAGGCCUUGGGGUUGUAACAACCUUAACCUAUUCUCAAACUUUAAAUAUGUAAGAACGAGCAGUCUCUUGGUUGGACCGCUUGGCGAUUGAGAGUUUCUAGUGGGCCAUUUUUGGUAAGCAGAACUGGCGAUGCGGGAUGAACCGAACGCGAGGUUAAGGUGCCGGAAUUCACGCACAUCAGACACCACAAAAGGUGUUAGUUCAUCUAGACAGCAGGACGGUGGCCAUGGAAGUCGGAAUCCGCUAAGGAGUGUGUAACAACUCACCUGCCGAAUGAACUAGCCCUGAAAAUGGAUGGCGCUUAAGCGUGAUACCCAUACCUCGCCGUCAGUGUUUUAGUGACGCUCUGACGAGUAGGCAGGCGUGGAGGUCAGUGAAGAAGCCUAGGCAGUGAUGCUGGGUGAAACGGCCUCUAGUGCAGAUCUUGGUGGUAGUA
rnacentral:rRNA from 1 species